rnacentral:rRNA from 1 species
UACGGAGGGAGCUAGCGUUAUUCGGAAUUACUGGGCGUAAAGGGCGCGUAGGCGGUGCUCUAAGUCGGAUGUGAAAACUCUGGGCUCAACCCAGAGCCUGCAUCCGAAACUGGAGUGCUACAGUUCUGGAGGGGGUAGCGGAAUUCCUGGUGUAGCGGUGAAAUGCGUAGAUAUCAGGAGGAACACCGGUGGCGAAGGCGGCUACCUGGACAGAAACUGACGCUGAGGCGCGAAAGCUAGGGGAGCAAACAGG